GGAUGUGAGGAUCACCUAGAUAAAACAUCUAUCAUUCCAUUGAUCACCAGGAUUGAUUCAGCUGAUCUGACUGCUAAGCAGGUGUCCUUUCUCCCAUUACCAUUUCAUGUGCCUCCCUCCAAAGGCUGCUUGCUCAGUCAAAAAGGACAACAGUCCCUGACAGGAGGGCCAUUCAAGCAAAAGUAUCAGUAGCUGCUUUCUUCUGCUACAACCUCCAAACAAGCUCUCAAGAAUUGUUACUGGCUUACCAUGGGUGAUACAUAGAAUGUGCAGGGGUGAAGAGGACGGAAAGAGAAAGGCUGGCCUUGAACAUUUGGGUACCUUGUGGAGUCUCUU
rfam:Fukomys damarensis contig140566, whole genome shotgun sequence.